rnacentral:rRNA from 1 species
AUUGAACGCUGGCGGCAGGCCUAACACAUGCAAGUCGAACGAGUGGCGGACGGGUGAGUAAUGUCUGGGAAACUGCCCGAUGGAGGGGGAUAACUACUGGAAACGGUAGCUAAUACCGCAUACAAUCGGAUGUGCCCAGAUGGGCUUAGCGAGUAGGUGGGGUAACGGCGCACCUAGUCGACGAUCCCUAGCUGGUCUGAGAGGAUGACCAGCCACACUGGAACUGAGCGACGGUCCAGCCUCCUACGGGAGGACGCAGUGGGGAAUAUUGCACAAUGGGCGCAAGCCUGAUGCAGCCAUGCCGCGUGUAUGAAGAAGGCCUUCGGGUUGUAAAGUACUUUCAGCGAGUAGGCGUUACUCGCAGAAGAAGCACCGGCUAACUCCGUGCCAGCAGCCGCGGUAAUAC